ACACUCAAGAUGGGAAGAGUGGGAACAUACGCGAUGGAUACCCUGGUGUAACGCGGUAAACGAUGUUGGAGGGGGGUUGUGGCGUUGAGCCGUGGCUAUAGGAGAUAACGCGGUAGAGUAGACCGCGUGGGGAGUACAGUCACAGGAUUAAAACUCAGAUGAAUUGACGGGGGCCCGCACAAGCGGUGGUGCAUGUGGUUUAAUUAGAUGCAACGCGAAGAACCUUACCUACUCUUGACAUCCAGAGAACGUUCCAGAGAUGGAUUGGUGCCUUCGGGAACUGUGAGACAGGUGCUGCAUGGCUGUCGUCAGCUCGUGUUGUGAAAUGUUGGGUUAAGUCCCGCAGCGAGCGCAACCCUUAUCCUUGUUUGCCAGCGAGUAAUGUCGGGAACUCCAGGGAGACUGCCGGUGAUAAACCGGAGGAAGGUGGGGACGACGUCAAGUCAUCAUGGCCGUUAGGAGUAGGGCUACACACGUGCUACAAUGGCGCAUACAGGGGGCGGCCAACUUGCGAAAGUGAGCGAAUCCCAAAAAGUGCGUCGUAGUCCGGAUUGGAGUCUGCAACUCGACUCCAUGAAGUCGGAAUCGCUAGUAAUCGUGGAUCAGAAUGCCACGGUGAAUACGUUCCCGGGCCUUGUACACACCGCCCA
rnacentral:rRNA from 1 species